AUGUAUGUAUUACAAUUAUACACUUCAACAGGGUUUACCAAUCUUGGAAAUAGGGUGCAGGCCAGGCAGCAGGCUGUUAGCCAGCCUGCCAGCAUAGUGGAGUCUGCCACUAGCACAGUCAGUGUAGUCAGCUCAGCUAUCACCAUUGAGACCGUGUCUGUGCCUCGACCUAGGUUGGGCAAAACUAAACAUGGCGGUGUUCGCCUUAGCAAUCUCACUAGGAUAAAGACCACCUCCAUUCCUGUCAUUAUUGAAAGAGAUCAUGAUACCUCACAUCUCAAAAUAGGGCUACUUAAUGUUAGAUCCCUUACUUCAAAGGCAAUUAUAGUCAAUGAACUAAUCACUGAUCAUAAUCUUGAUGUGAUUGGCCUGACUGAAACAUGGCUUAAGCCUGAUGAAUUUACUGUGUUAAAUGAGGCCUCACCUCCUGGCUACACUAGUGACCAUAUCCCCCGUGCAUCUCGCAAAGGCGGAGGUGUUGCUAACAUUUACGAUAGCAAAUUUCAAUUUACAAAAAAAAAAAAGACGUUUUCGUCUUUUGAGCUUCUAGUCAUGAAAUCUAUGCAGCCUACUCAAUCACUUUUUAUAGCUACUGUUUACAGGCCUCCUGGGCCAUAUACAGCGUUCCUCAUUGAGUUCCCCGAAUUCCUAUCGGACCUUGUAGUCAUAGCAGAUAAUAUUCUAAUCUUUGGUGACUUUAAUAUUCACAUGGAAAAGUCCACAGACCCACUCCAAAAGGCUUUCGGAGCCAUCAUCAACUCAGUGGGUUUUGUCCAACAUGUCUCUGGACCAACUCACUGUCACAGUCAUACGCUGGACCUAGUUUUGUCCCAUGGAAUAAAUGUUGUGGAUCUUAAUGUUUUUCCUCAUAAUCCUGGACUAUUGGACCACCAUUUUAUUACGUUUGCAAUUGCAACAAAUAAUCUGCUCAGACCCCAACCAAGGAACAUCAAAAGUCGUGCUAUAAAUUCACAGACAACACAAAGAUUCCUUGAUGUCCUUCCAGAUUCCCUCUGUCUACCCAAGGACGCCAGAGGACAAAAAUCAGUUAACCACCUAACUGAGGAACUCAAUUUAACCUUGCGCAAUACCCUAGAUGCAGUUGCACCCCUAAAAAUUAAAAAAAUUUCUCAUAAGAAACUAGCUCCCUGGUACACAGAAAAUACCCGAGCUCUGAAGCAAGCUUCCAGAAAAUUGGAACGGAAAUGGCGCCACACCAAACUGGAAGUCUUCCGACUAGCUUGGAAAGACAGUACUGUGCAGUACUGA
rnacentral:lncRNA from 1 species